AAGAGCAGCAGGGCCCAGCAUGCCUGUUUGCAGGCAGAGGAAGUGUGCGGGGAGGAGCAUGGCAUUCAGUCAGGGAACACCGCAUGGAAUGCUGGUUUUUUAGAGUCCUCGGAACAAAAUCUUGAAAUAAGUGAGACAAUCUGUAGUGCCUGAAACAAUAACAGCCCACCGCCCCUGAUAUUCAAGUGGGCAGAAAUUUUCAAGAAUAAAAGAUGUUGCUUAUCUUCUAUAGAGCUAACUGAUAGCUGCCUCAGCAAAAAGGUGCAACAGCAGCCGCUGGGGAUUAUUUUGGUCUGGAUAGCCAAAGAGGAAAAGGAAAAUGACUGAGAAGAAAACAACCACAAAUGAGCAAAUAACUGAUUCAUGCAAGAGAAAACACUGAUCCUGGCAACAUUACAAAGGUUACAGGCAGGAAUCUCUCCCAACCCUAUCUGGAGAUGCCAAGGAGGGAAUUUGGAACCUUCUGCAUGCAAGCAUGCAGGCGCUCUUCCCAGAGCAGCUCCAUCCCCUAAGGGGAAGAUCUUACUGUGCUCACGUGUAGUCUCUCUUUGGCACUUGGUGGUGGUGGAAACUGGCAUGGAUGAACAGAAGGGAGUCUCAAGCUAUUCAUGGAGAAGGUGUUGUGUGGGGAGUGGUCUGCCAUGCGACUCCUGAGAACUGGCUUAUAAUCUGGUACCUGAAGUGAGGAAAGGUAAUGUUGCAUGGUAGGUCUGAAGCAACCAAGUAAGGCCGGUUUGGAUGAUGCCUUACCAGUCCAUGUGAUUAGGCAAGGAAUGCGCCAAGAACAUGAUGUUUGUGGCAGACGUCCUGAUGGCCUCCCAGCAUGUCCCUUUAUCACAUGAAUGGCCUCUCUUCACAGGCUUCAAAUGCUUGAUAUGCUCUUGACUUCAAUGGAAAUAUAAAGGACCCUGCAACUACAUAAGGUUGAUGGAUUGUGAACGCUGAUUUAAGCAGUGGUAUGGCCUAUCCUGUAUUAUAGGCAUCCCUAUGACUG